rnacentral:rRNA from 1 species
UACGGAGGAUCCAAGCGUUAUCCGGAAUCAUUGGGUUUAAAGGGUCCGUAGGCGGCCUUAUAAGUCAGCGGUGAAAGUUUGCAGCUUAACUGUAAAAUUGCCAUUGAUACUGUAAGGCUUGAAUUUUUGUGAAGUAACUAGAAUAUGUAGUGUAGCGGUGAAAUGCUUAGAUAUUACAUGGAAUACCAAUUGCGAAGGCAGGUUACUAACAAACGAUUGACGCUGAUGGACGAAAGCGUGGGUAGCGAACAGG